rnacentral:lncRNA from 1 species
CCGCAUCUGCUCUAACCCCUCAGACAGAGACCAACACCUACAAAAUCUCCACCAAGCAUUCUCAAAACUACAAUACCCGCAUGAGGAAAUAAGGAAACAGAUCAACAGAGCCAGACGUGUACCCAGAAGCCUCCUACUGCAAGACAAACCCAAGAGAGAAACCAACAGGACUCCACUGGCCAUCACAUACAGCCCCCAGCUAAAACCCCUCCAACGCAUCAUCAAGGAUCUACAACCCAUCCUGGACAAUGAUCCCACACUUUCACAGGCCUUGGGUGGCAGGCCAAUCCUUGCCCACAGACAACCUGCCAACCUGAAACAUAUUCUCACCAGUAACUGCACACCACACCAUAAUAACUCUAGCUCAGGAACCAAUCCAUGCAACAAACCUCGAUGCCAACUCUGCCCACGUAUCUACACCAGCGACACCAUCACAGGACCUAACGAGAUCAGCUACACCUUCACCGGUUCACUCACCUGCACAUCCACCAAUGUAAUAUACGCCAUCAUAUGCCAGCAAUGCCCCUCUGCUAUGUACAUCGGCCAAACUGGACAGUCUCUACGGAAAAGGAUAAACGGACACAAAUCAGAUAUUAGGAAUGGCAAUAUACAAAAACCUGUAGGAGAACACUUCAACCUCCCUGGCCACACUAUAGCAGACCUUAAGGUGGCCAUCCUGCAGCAAAAAAACUUCAGGACCAGACUUCAAAGAGAAACUGCUGAGCUUCAGUUCAUCUGCAAAUUUGACACCAUCAGCUCAGGAUUAAACAAAGACUGUGAAUGGCUUGCCAGUUACAGAACCAGUUUCUCCUCCCUUGGUUUUCACACCUCAACUGCUAGAACAGGAUCUCAUCCUCCCUGAUUGAACUACCUCAUUAUCUCUAGCUUGCCUGCAUAUAUAUACCUGCCCCUGGAAAUUUCCACCACAUGCAUCUGACAAAGAGGGGAAUUCACCCAUGAAAGCUCAUGCUCCAAAACGUCUGUUAGUCUAUAAGGUGCCACAGGACUCUUUGCUGCCUUCCCUAUCUCUUAAAUCUA